rnacentral:tRNA from 2 species
GCCGGUUAGCUCAGUUGGUAGAGCGCUCCACUGAAAAUGAACAAGUCUCUGGUUCAAUACCAGGACCAGACG